GUGGCCUCUUGUUUAGCUUGUGGCGUGACCAUGAUGAAGAAAUGUUUCUGGGCGCCUGGCAGUGUGAUCUUUUUUCUAUAAUGAGUCAGGAUUUUGCAAAGAGGGCCGGAGGAUUGAGGGGUUGUCUCCUUUCAAGCAGAAAAAUGACAGGCGGGCUGCACCUUCUCCUUGGGAGCCUAGUCCUCGCUUGCUUUUUUGUGGGGUCUUGGGUUUUUUUGGACACCUGAAAGAUGUGACAAGUGUGUCGAGAGCAGCAUUACAGAAAUACGUAUGACAUCCCUUCAAAAUAUAACUGCUGUUGAGUAGAAGUCCUGAUUGUUACAGCGAAAAUGAAAUUUCCACCAAAUUUGGACAGAAAUGGAGACUGUUACCCAAAAUGUUUCAAUCUUUGCUUGAAAUGAAGUGAAACAGUUGUGUUUACUGUUGCUUAAAAUAUAAAUGGCAAGAUGUGCAACCACCUGUUGAUAAACAAAUGUCAGAAGUCAUAAAUCUAAGGAACAUGCUGGCACCUGUGCAGUACUUGGGAAAAGAAAUAAAUUUCACCAUAAGACUCUUGACUAGACCAACAGGCUGAAGUGACCACUUCAUACUUGCCAUCUAGGCUCUGAGCUGUUCCUCCCUCCCCUUCCUCCCAUGCAGUUUGCUUCUGGAUGCACUGCAGGUGUUGAUCAUCUAUGAAGUCUCCUAACUGGCUUGGCAGUUAAUAAACUAGUGCCUUGAUCCUGCAUUGCAAUGCACAAACAGACUCUUGACUUCAGCAGGGUUCUGACUGGGAAGAAGCAAUCUGUCUAAGAACUACAUGAAGUGGAAGAAAGGAAUAAUACACAGAUAUGCUUUUAGCAUCAAGAUUAUGCUACAUAAACAAGAAAUUUACGUUGGUAUAAUGUGGAUGGCGUUUUAUAAACAUGUAACUAUUAUAGAUCCUUGCCCCAAGAACCAUAAAAAAUGACCAAAUACUGCUCCAA